AAAAUUUAAAAUUAAAAUACUAAAAUAGUAAUUAAUUAUUUAUUGAAACUUAAAUAAUUUGGCGGUAUUUUAGUUCAUUUAGAGGAAUCUGUUUAAUAAUUGAUAUUCCACGAAUAAAUUUACUUAAUUUAUAAUUUUGUAUAUCGUUGUUAUAAAAAUAUUUUUUAAUAAAAUUAAUAUUUAAAAAUUAUUAUAUAAAUUUAAAUCAGAUCAAGAUGCAGAUUAUAAUUAAGAAUAUAAUGGAUUACAAUAAAAUUAUUUAAAUGAAUAUUAAUUUGUAAAAAUUAAUUGAAAGUGGAUUUAAAUGUAAUUUUAUUUAAUUUAGUAAAAUGAUUAAAAAUUAAAAUAUGU
rnacentral:rRNA from 1 species